GGAUCGAGGAUGUGCAUAACUGUCUGAGGAUGCCGAGGGACUAGUUGCAGGUAUCAAUCUGAAGUCC
ensembl:snoRNA small nucleolar RNA SNORD109A